AUGGAACAAUGUAGGCAAGGGAAGUCGGCAAAAUGGAUCCGUAACUUCGGGAAAAGGAUUGGCUCUGAGGACUGGGCUCGGGGGUCCCGGCCCCGAACCCGUCGGCUGUCGGCGGAUUGCUCGAGCUGCUCACGCGGCGAGAGCGGGUCGCCGCGUGCCGGCCGGGGGACGGACCGGGAAUCGCCCCUUCGGGGGCUUUCCCCGAGCAUGAAACAGUCGACUCAAAACUGGUAUGGACAAGUGGAAUCCGACUGUUUAAUUAAAACAAAGCAUUGCGAUGGUCCUCGCGGAUGCUGA
rnacentral:rRNA from 1 species